GAGAAGCAAAGCUGGGGAGCGAACAGGAUUAGAUACCCUGGUAGUCCAUGCCGUAAACGUUGGGCGCUAGGUGUGGGACUCAUUCCACGAGUUCCGUGCCGCAGCUAACGCAUUAAGCGCCCCGCCUGGGGAGUACGGCCGCAAGGCUAAAACUCAAAGGAAUUGACGGGGGCCCGCACAAGCGGCGGAGCAUGCGGAUUAAUUCGAUGCAACGCGAAGAACCUUACCAAGGCUUGACAUAUACCGGAAACAUCCAGAGAUG
rnacentral:rRNA from 1 species